rnacentral:rRNA from 1 species
UACGUAGGGUGCGAGCGUUACUCGGAAUUACUGGGCGUAAAGCGUGCGUAGGCGGUGAUGUAAGACAGGUGUGAAAUCCCCGGGCUUAACCUGGGAACUGCAUUUGUGACUGCAUCGCUGGAGUGCGGCAGAGGGGGAUGGAAUUCCGCGUGUAGCAGUGAAAUGCGUAGAUAUGCGGAGGAACACCGAUGGCGAAGGCAAUCCCCUGGGCCUGCACUGACGCUCAUGCACGAAAUCGUGGGGAGCAAACAGG